GUAUGUCUCAUUUCCAAAUGGACAAAAGAUAGGGAGAAAAUAUUAAUAGGCUAGUGAGCCAUACAAGUAAUAUAGGAAAGAGGGCAGCAAGGCAAGCACGAUAAGAAAGUGGAAUAUUGAGUAUGUAAGGAAAAGAAUGAGAGAAGAAAGAUAACGGGUGUAAAAGCAGCUUCAAGCAGUGAGUGACAUUACACUCUAUUGGAACCCUGCUGACAUCUCAUUCAGCGCUGAGAGGAAGCGCCCCCCUGCCUCCUCACCUCAUUCAUUAAAAGCACCACACAUAAAUGACAGCUAGGGUAUUCAGCGGCUCUCACUCUUGCAGCUGCAGCAUGAUGAUCAGCACAAGAUGGAGCGAUCCCAAGUCCAGGCUAUUCCUCGGGGUAACUUUGUUUUCCAGGCUGCUACGCUUGCCUCAUCCUCGUGUACCUGUAGUGUCGAGCGACAUCCCUGCCUGAUCUUGAUCUGACAUGUAUCACCUGGUUUCUACUAGCCGAUCCCAGCUGUCCUGUUACUACACCGGAGCUGUCUGGAAGAAAGAUUGUUUCACAGCUUCAGAAUAUAAUGUAUCAUAUAUACUAAGAACACCCCUCCUACUGAAGUCAGAAAAGUUCUGCAGAACCGCUGGGACACUGAGCUCCAUACAUAAUUGUAGAAGAUUAUGUUAUGUUUGAAAUUGACAAAGAAAGCAGCAGCUCCAGCAGUGUGAAAAUAUAUAAUUCCUCAUCACAAUGCGAAAGGAAGGUGAGGCGCUGACCCAAAAGAGAUUUCUACCAUUCAAAAAGAGAUUCCACCUGGAACUCGGAGCUAUCACAACCAAGGUUUUAUUUUUUUGGUUAUCUGUGACUAGUCUCCAAAAGGAUAUCUUAGUCCCUCUGUAGAACUGUGGUAAAGUAUAUUGGAAAGGGAGGGUGGGGUGGGG